UACGAAGGGGGCUAGCGUUAUUCGGAUUUACUGGGCGUAAAGCGCACGUAGGCGGAUCGUUAAGUCGGGGGUGAAAUCCUGGAGCUCAACUCCAGAACUGCCUUCGAUACUGGCGAUCUUGAGUCCGGAAGAGGUGAGUGGAAUUCCUAGUGUAGAGGUGGAAUUCGUAGAUAUUAGGAAGAACACCAGUGGCGAAGGCGGCUCACUGGUCCGGUACUGACGCUGAGGUGCGAAAGCGUGGGGAGCAAACAGG
rnacentral:rRNA from 1 species